GUUCGAGUUGUGCGGAUUGUAAUCCUUGAACGCAUAUCCGCGAGACUGGUCAAUCGUGUGGAACAACGGGUUCCAGUCGAACAUGACGACCAUGUAUCCUGGCAGCGUGUUGGCCACGAACAUCUUGCCCGAGGCAAUCAUGUUUGCCCGCUG
rnacentral:ncRNA from 1 species